AUUGAACGCUGGCGGCAUGCUUUACACAUGCCAGUCGAACGGCAGCGCGGGCUUCGGCCUGGCGGCGAGUGGCGAACGGGUGAGUAAUGCAUCGGAACGUGCCCAGUAGUGGGGGAUAGCCCGGCGAAAGCCGGAUUAAUACCGCAUACGACCUGAGGGUGAAAGCGGGGGACCGAAAGGCCUCGCGCUAUUGGAGCGGCCGAUGUCGGAUUAGCUAGUUGGUGGGGUAAAGGCUUACCAAGGCGACGAUCCGUAGCUGGUCUGAGAGGACGACCAGCCACACUGGGACUGAGACACGGCCCAGACUCCUACGGGAGGCAGCAGUGGGGAAUUUUGGACAAUGGGGGCAACCCUGAUCCAGCCAUGCCGCGUGCGGGAAGAAGGCCUUCGGGUUGUAAACCGCUUUUGUUCGGGAAGAAAUCCUCUGGGCUAAUACCCCGGGGGGAUGACGGUACCGGAAGAAUAAGCACCGGCUAACUACGU
rnacentral:rRNA from 1 species